CAGUGUGUUCAACCAUUGUGUCAAUAAUAACUGCUGCUGUGAAGAGAACAAUUCUCAGACUGAAUGUUGAACAGCAGCUAGUUUCUCCUGUUGACUUAAACCUUGUUGUAGAGAUGGAACAUUGGCUGUGGAUUAUUCUUGCUGCUCUUUUCUUUGAGUGUAAAGGAGAAGUCAGAGUGAUCCAGCCAACAGGAGAUGUCAUUGCUACUGAAGGAGACACAGUUACACUUGGCUGUACAUUUGAGUCAAGUGACACAAAUAAUUAUCUCUUCUGGUACAAACAAGAAGUAAAUGACUUUCCCAAAUAUAUUUUGCGACGUGAUACUUAUAAAACAGAACAUAAUGCUGCCGAGUUCCAGAAAGACAGAUUUAAUGCUACAAUCAAGGAUAAGUCAGUUCCUCUGAAGAUCCAGAAGCUUCAGCUGUCUGACUCUGCUGUGUAUUACUGUGCUCUGCGGCCCACAGUGACAGGAAACACCAAGACUCUGUACAAAAACCUUUGGAGCAAAGACAACAGAAUACUCCACAACGUCCACUAGAGGGAGUCACACACUGUU